rnacentral:rRNA from 1 species
CCUACGGGGGGCAGCAGUGAGGAAUAUUGGUCAAUGGACGAGAGUCUGAACCAGCCAAGUAGCGUGAAGGAUGACUGCCCUAUGGGUUGUAAACUUCUUUUAUAUGGGAAUAAAAUGUUCCACGUGUGGGAUUUUGUAUGUACCAUAUGAAUAAGGAUCGGCUAACUCCGUGCCAGCAGCCGCGGUAAUACGGAGGAUCCGAGCGUUAUCCGGAUUUAUUGGGUUUAAAGGGAGCGUAGGUGGAUUGUUAAGUCAGUUGUGAAAGUUUGCGGCUCAACCGUAAAAUUGCAGUUGAAACUGGCAGUCUUGAGUACAGUAGAGGUGGGCGGAAUUCGUGGUGUAGCGGUGAAAUGCUUAGAUAUCACGAAGAACCCCGAUUGCGAAGGCAGCUUACUGGACUGCAACUGACAUUGAGGCUCGAAAGUGUGGGUAUCAAACAGGAUAAGAUACCCGAGUAGUC